CGGCUCGGUGUCCCAGGCGUUGCGCGGGACCGCCCCGGAGUUGGGGGUGGUGAGAUCCCGCGUCCGUUUACCUGGCGUGCCGGCUGUG
rnacentral:pre_miRNA from 1 species